rnacentral:rRNA from 1 species
CGAGAAGUUUGGAUAUCUGGCUCAGAUUGAACGCUGGCGGCAGGCUAACACAUGCAAGUCGAGCGGAUGAAGGGAGCUUGCUCCUGGAUUCAGCGGCGGACGGGUGAGUAAUGCCUAGGAAUCUGCCUGGUAGUGGGGGAUAACGUCCGGAAACGGGCGCUAAUACCGCAUACGUCCUGAGGGAGAAAGUGGGGGAUCUUCGGACCUCACGCUAUCAGAUGAGCCUAGGUCGGAUUAGCUAGUUGGUGGGGUAAAGGCCUACCAAGGCGACGAUCCGUAACUGGUCUGAGAGGAUGAUCAGUCACACUGGAACUGAGACACGGUCCAGACUCCUACGGGAGGCAGCAGUGGGGAAUAUUGGACAAUGGGCGAAAGCCUGAUCCAGCCAUGCCGCGUGUGUGAAGAAGGUCUUCGGAUUGUAAAGCACUUUAAGUUGGGAGGAAGGGCAGUAAGUUAAUACCUUGCUGUUUUGACGUUACCAACAGAAUAAGCACCGGCUAACUUCGUGCCAGCAGCCGCGGUAAUACGAAGGGUGCAAGCGUUAAUCGGAAUUACUGGGCGUAAAGCGCGCGUAGGUGGUUCAGCAAGUUGGAUGUGAAAUCCCCGGGCUCAACCUGGGAACUGCAUCCAAAACUACUGAGCUAGAGUACGGUAGAGGGUGGUGGAAUUUCCUGUGUAGCGGUGAAAUGCGUAGAUAUAGGAAGGAACACCAGUGGCGAAGGCGACCACCUGGACUGAUACUGACACUGAGGUGCGAAAGCGUGGGGAGCAAACAGGAUUAGAUACCCUGGUAGUCCACGCCGUAAACGAUGUCGACUAGCCGUUGGGAUCCUUGAGAUCUUAGUGGCGCAGCUAACGCGAUAAGUCGACCGCCUGGGAGACCCCCCAACG